GACCAGCUACUGGCUUUGUCACUCUGUUCUUUAUGUGGAUAAUUAAGUCACUUUAAAGCAAUCUUUUGUUUCUUUUCUUAGGUGUGUAAUGAGGGAGAUCGCUUCAACACGCACCCAAUCAGAAACAGCUAAUCUGACCAUAUUGUUUGACAAGUGUGUUCCUUACUGCUCUCUGCCACAGGAGAUGUAAUCUGAAACAAUUAUGCCAAUUCCUCAGAACAGUAUACUGCGGAUGAAAUCCUCUGCCUCUGCCUGAAUCCAUCCAGGAAACCACUGAUCAAGAUCUGAUGAUGUUCAGACUGAACGUCCCGUGUACUGUGGACACUUUGGCUCGAGCUCGAGGCCGUGGGGAAGCAGAUUCGCGACCUGGAACGGA